rnacentral:tRNA from 2 species
GCACCAGUGGUGUAGUGGUAUCAUGCAAGAUUCCCAUUCUUGUGACCUGGGUUCGAUUCCCGGCUGGUGCA